GAGUUUGAUCCUGGCUCAGAUUGAACGCUGGCGGCAUGCCUUACACGUGCAAGUCGAACGGCAGCAUGAUCUAGCUUGCUAGAUUGAUGGCGAGUGGCGAACGGGUGAGUAAUACAUCGGAACGUGCCCUGUAGUGGGGGAUAACUAGUCGAAAGAUUAGCUAAUACCGCAUACGACCUGAGGGUGAAAGUGGGGGACCGCAAGGCCUCAUGCUAUAGGAGCGGCCGAUGUCUGAUUAGCUAGUUGGUGGGGUAAAGGCCCACCAAGGCGACGAUCAGUAGCUGGUCUGAGAGGACGAUCAGCCACACUGGGACUGAGACACGGCCCAGACUCCUACGGGAGGCAGCAGUGGGGAAUUUUGGACAAUGGGCGAAAGCCUGAUCCAGCAAUGCCGCGUGUGUGAAGAAGGCCUUCGGUUGUCAAGCACUUUGUCCGGUAAGAAAU
rnacentral:rRNA from 1 species